AGCCAAAAUAUACACUUUUUUUAUGUUGUUUUUGUCAGAGUUUUUUACACAGCAAUGAGAAAAAUACUGAAUGCAUAUAUUAAUAAAAUUUCAAGACAUGAAGAACAAAGGACUGUGGCUCAGUAGAGUAAGAUUUUUCAUCCUAGUGCUGAGUAUAGUAAGUGAACAGCACCAGACUUUCUUUACAGAGGGAAAUUCUUUACAAUGUAAAGUUCUGUGUGUAGGAACUGAAUGAGUCAGUUGUUAUUUAUUGCUUGGCCUCACCUGGCACUCCUGUGUUGAAACUUUGUUCCUUUCCUAGCUAGGACUACAGGUUCCUGCUACUCUACCAGUGAGUUGCAAUGAGGACUGAGAUAUUUGUAGGUCUAGAAGAAGACCUUAGAGAAGCUUUGUGCACAUAUCCUUUUACUGUAUGCCACGUCUCUAGCCAAAGAGUAUGUGAUCCAGAAAGCUUUGGCGUGGUGUGAACAAGGCCCAGCAAUCCCAGAUUGAUGCAGAAACAUUGUGAGCUCUAAAAGCAAUGGUUAUUCGUGGAAAGGGAAAGAAAUUUAAAUUAUCUUUGACAACUUAAAAAUGAAGUGUUAAUAGGAUAUAUUAAGGAUUCUGGGCAAACAGUUUGUCCUAUUCUGGUUUGUUUCUAUCUUUUUUUUUUCUUUGAUGUGAUGCCUGUAAUCUCAUGAGAAAGAUAAAGAGUAUGGGUUUUGGUAGUGGGGAGGAUCUAGGAGCAGUUGGGGGUAGGGGAAGUCAUAAUCGGAAUAUACUGUAUGGAAAAAAUCUACAAUGAAAAAAAGUGUGACUAGAAAUAGAGUAAGUACACUUUGUUUGGUUUUAAGAAAGAGUCUCAUGUAGCCUAGCCUGGUCAUGAACUCCUGAUUCUAGAGCUAGGAUCGCAGGUUGUAUGCCAGUUAAUACUACUACUAUUAAGUAGUAUUUCAGUGGUUAAUUUUUUUUUCCUCCCCUUCUCUCUUCUUGCUUAUGGUUUUAUGGAAUGGUCUCCCAUCUCUUGCAAAGGGAAGUUUCUUGAUGAGGAGUGAGAACUACACUUAACUGGGCAUAAGUAAAAAUAUUUAGGAUAUAGUUAGGGGUUGAUUAUGCUGGUUUAGUAAAUGAUAGUUGUAGGUUCUCCACUAAGAUCCCUGACUUCACUAGUCCUAGGUAGUUGACUAGAUUUCCAUUAUUAACACAAGUUUUUUCUCUCUGAGUAGGGUCUUAAGUCCAGUUAGAGUUACUGGUUACCACCAAGGUAUGCAUUCCACUGCUGCACCAUAAAGGUUAUUGUGCCAGCUGUUAUAGCUGGGUAGGAAGGGCUGUUGCUUCCUUCAUUUGGCAGCUUGCAUGGCACCUUCUGGAAACAUGAAGCUAGUCAGUUCUAGUUUAGGUGUCUCUGGUCCCACUGUCUGAAGUUCAUGGUAUCAUCAGCAUUAGGAACUUAUCUUCUACCACUUGGGAUUGGGUAACCAAAGGCAAUAGCAAUAGUCUGCAAUGUUUUAGGAGUCUCUUGGACAGUCCUGACCAACAACUGAAAGGUGGUAUUCUCAUGUUUAGUAAUGGAGAUUUUGUUAAAUAGUUAGAGGGGAAAUCAGAGGAAUUUCAGAGAGUUGUUUCUGUUAUGGGCCUCAGGGAUAGAACUUACAGCUUAUCAGGCUUCACGACAAGCAUUUUAUCUGCUGAGCUAUUUUGCUAGCUCUUGGUUGUUUACAUGUACUUGUUUUUAUUUUAUGUGUAUGAAUGUUAGGCUUACAUGUAUGUUCACCAUGUGCUUGCUUGGUUUCCAUGGAGGCCAGAACAGGAUGUUGAGUCCCCUGGAACUCUGUGAGUUGUUAGCUACUGUGUGGGUGCUGGGACACAAAACUGCAAGAGCAGUAAGUACUCCGAGUUGCUAAGCCAUCUCUAGAUUCUCUAUGGAGUUUUAAUGAAGUAAAGUAACUCAGUGAGGUAGGGAAUGGGAGUUGGAAUAUGUGGACUACCUUUUAUGACAAGAAAGUAGGUCUAGGGGCUGGCUCAGUGGUUAAGAACACUUGUUGCUCCUGCACAAGACCUAGGUUUAGUUCCCAGCACCCACAUGGUGGUGGUUCAUAACACCAGGGGGUCAAAUGCCUUCUUCUGACCUCAAAAGGCACCACCAAGUUGCAUGUGGUACAUAAGUAUACAUGCAAGCAAAACAAAGUAAAAUGUAUA
rnacentral:lncRNA from 1 species